GAACAUCAUGCUGUAUACAUAGUUAUGCAGUCUCGAUGUGUGUGUGUAUAACAGCCGUUCGUCCACAACUGGCGAAGCAAUCAUCGAAAUCGAUAAUCGACAAAAAGAUGGAACGACGCACAGCAGCACAGCUAUAUAGGGAUCUAUUCAAUCGGCAUCCAUAAAUGCCACAGCUGCUAUCUCUCGCUUUUGGCUGCUUGCCACAGCAUGUCGGACAAAACAAACCACUCGAUCUCGCCAUCAGCCAUUUGUUCUCGUUUACAUAUUGUUAUUGAUCCGUGCUGUUAGAGACAGUCCCCCGUCAAUACAUAUAGACCUAUACUCUUGUUAAUUGCACAAUCACGGCCAGGAUUUUGAGUGAAAAAAAAAAUGAUGACAGGAU